rnacentral:rRNA from 1 species
AUUGAACGCUGGCGGCAUGCCUUACACAUGCAAGUCGAACGGCAGCACGGGGCAACCUGGUGGCGAGUGGCGAACGGGUGAGUAAUGCAUCGGAACGUACCUUUCAGUGGGGGAUAACGUAGCGAAAGUUACGCUAAUACCGCAUAUUCUGUGAGCAGGAAAGCAGGGGAUCGCAAGACCUUGCGCUGAUGGAUCGUCCGAUGUCAGAUUAGAUAGUUGGUGAGGUAAAGGCUCACCAAGGCGACGAUCUGUAGCGGGUCUGAGAGGAUGAUCCGCCACACUGGAACUGAGACACGGUCCAGACUCCUACGGGAGGCAGCAGUGGGGAAUUUUGGACAAUGGGGGCAACCCUGAUCCAGCCAUGCCGCGUGAGUGAAGAAGGCCUUCGGCUUGUAAAGCUCUUUCGGCCGGGAAGAAAUCGCACGGGCUAAUACCCUGUGUGGAUGACGGUACCGGAAUAAGAAGCACCGGCUAACUACGUGCCAGCCGCCGCCGUAAAAC